rnacentral:rRNA from 1 species
GAGCAACGCCGCGUGUGGGAGGACGGCCUUAGGGUUGUAAACCACUUUUCUCUGGGAAGAAGAACUGACGGUACCAGAGGAAUAAGCCUCGGCUAACUCCGUGCCAGCAGCCGCGGUAAGACGGAGGAGGCAAGCGUUAUCCGGAAUUAUUGGGCGUAAAGCGUCCGCAGGCGGCUCAUUAAGUCUGCUGUCAAAGGCCACAGCUCAACUGUGGGGAGGCAGUGGGAACUGGUGAGCUAGAGAGCGGUAGGGGUAGAGGGAAUUCCCAGUGUAGCGGUGAAAUGCGUAGAUAUUGGGAAGAACACCAGUGGCGUAGGCGCUCUACUGGGCCGUUACUGACGCUGAGGGACGAAAGCUAGGGGAGCGAAAGGGAUUAGAUACCCCUGUA